rnacentral:rRNA from 1 species
UACGUAGGGUGCGAGCGUUGUCCGGAAUUAUUGGGCGUAAAGAGCUCGUAGGCGGUUUGUCGCGUCUGCCGUGAAAGUCCGGGGCUCAACUCCGGAUCUGCGGUGGGUACGGGCAGACUAGAGUGAUGUAGGGGAGACUGGAAUUCCUGGUGUAGCGGUGAAAUGCGCAGGUAUCAGGAGGAACACCGAUGGCGAAGGCAGGUCUCUGGGCAUUAACUGACGCUGAGGAGCGAAAGCAUGGGGAGCGAACAGG